GACGAACGCUGGCGGCGUGCUUAACACAUGCAAGUCGAACGGAAAGGCCCUGCUUGCAGGGUACUCGAGUGGCGAACGGGUGAGUAACACGUGGGUGAUCUGCCCUGCACUUCGGGAUAAGCCUGGGAAACUGGGUCUAAUACCGGAUAGGAGCCAUUUUUAGUGUGAUGGUUGGAAAGUUUUUUCGGUGUAGGAUGAGCUCGCGGCCUAUCAGCUUGUUGGUGGGGUAAUGGCCUACCAAGGCGGCGACGGGUAGCCGGCCUGAGAGGGUGGACGGCGACAUUGGGACUGAGAUACGGCCCAGACUCCUACGGGAGGCAGCAGUGGGGAAUAUUGAACAAUGGGCGCAAGCCUGAUGCAGCGACGCCGCGUGGGGGAUGACGGCCUUCGGGUUGUAAACUCCUUUCGCUAGGGACGAAGCUUUUUGUGACGGUACCUAGAUAAGAAGCACCGGCUAACUACGUG
rnacentral:rRNA from 1 species